rnacentral:lncRNA from 1 species
AAAAAAAAAUGUCUAAAUUUGCAAUCUAUUGUAUAAGGGGAACUACUUUAAAAACUAUGCUGCCUAACACUAAAACACCUGUGUCAGUAUACUCACUAUAGCUCUUUGUGAGACAUUGGUAGAUACAAAAGAAUUAAAAAUUGAAAUAGAUUCUGGAAACAAUAGAGUACACGUAUUACACUAUUAACAGUGGUGAAUCCAAAGGGGUGGGGGUCUGGAUUUUUUGGAUAAUCAAUGCAUUUGAAUGGGAACAUAGAGUUGGAACCCCCUUUUUCCUUGGUUGGAAAUGGCUAAAAUCACCCCUGAUGUAUAAGGAGGUUGAAGAUGUUUCUCAAUUUAUAAAAGUAAUGAAUCUUUGCAUAAUAAAAUGAUAAGAUAUUGAUUUAAGAUCAUGGAAACUGCUGAAAAUUAUAACUUGUUUUUUAUUCAUAUAUUAUGCAGCUUGCUGUUCUAUUAAUUAAAAAUCAUUGGCAUUGAAGAGGGUUCUCCACAUCUAUAUUUACAGGGGCCUUUUUUGCCUAAGUAGUCCACUAUAUGUAUCACUAACAUGCACAGUGCAGUCAUCAAUGAGAUUGUGAGUUGGAGUCUCACAUGAAGCAGGUGAAUUUACACUAAUCUUAAUUGACCUGGAAUAUUAGUUUUCUACCGAAACUCAGUGGUCCUGUCCUCUCUUGGCACUCCAAUUUCCUCUGCCAAUAAAAGUUAUCGCCACAAAAUAGCAUAAUAGUGUUGAAAUUUUACAUUAAACGCCAAUCAAUCAAUCAAUCAAUCAAUCCACACCUGCAUUAGUAUUCAUUUUUUUAAAAAUCAUAUUGUUAUUUUAUGUUUACAUAAUUUUAUUUUGGAUGUAACACGUCUUCUGAUUGGAUGACGUUAUUUUGUUAUCAGCCCA